rnacentral:rRNA from 1 species
GACGAACGCUGGCGGCGUGCUUAACACAUGCAAGUCGAACGGAAAGGCCCUGCUUUUGUGGUGUGCUCGAGUGGCGAACGGGUGAGUAACACGUGAGUAACCUGCCCUUGACUUUGGGAUAACUUCAGGAAACUGGGGCUAAUACCGGAUAGGAGCUCCUGCUGCAUGGUGGGGGUUGGAAAGUUUCGGCGGUUGGGGAUGGACUCGCGGCGUAUCAGCUUGUUGGUGGGGUAGUGGCUUACCAAGGCUUUGACGGGUAGCCGGCCUGAGAGGGUGACCGGCCAGAUUGGGACUGGGAUACGGCGCAGACUCCUACGGGAGGCAGAAGUGGGGAAUAUUGCACAAUGGGCGGAAGCCUGAGGCAGCAACGCCGCGUGCGGGAUGACGGCCUUCGGGUUGUAAACCGCUUUCGCCUGUGACGAAGCGUGAGUGACGGUAAUGGGUAAAGAAGCACCGGCUAACUACGUG